ACUCAAAGGAAUUGACGGGGACUCGCACAAGUGGUGGAUUAUGUGGCUCAAUUCGUCGACAAACGAAGAACCUUACCAAGGUUAGAAAUCCAGCUGCAUCCGUAUCGAAAGACUCGGAGCCUUCGAGGGUGCUGGACAGGUGGUGCACGGUCGUCGUCAGUUCGUGGUUUGAACUGUUCCCUUCAGUGGGGUAACGAACGCAACCCCUAUUGCCUGUUGCCUAUAUGGUCAGGCGAGACUGCUCCCUCACGGGAGAGGAGGGUGGGGAUGACGCCAGAUCAGCGUGCCCCUCUGAUACCUUGGGCCGCACACAUAAUACAAUGGCAGGCACAACGGGACGCAAUACCGCAAGGUGGAGCAAAUCCUUAAACCCUGCCUCAGUACGGAUUGAGGUCUGCAACCGACCUCAUGAAGCCGGAAUCACUAGUAAUCCCGGGUCAGCCAAACCGGGGUGAAUACGUUCUCGAGUCUUGUACACACCGCCCGU
rnacentral:rRNA from 1 species